rnacentral:rRNA from 1 species
AUUGAACGCUGGCGGUAUGCUUAACACAUGCAAGUCGAACGGCAGCACAGACUGUAGCAAUACAGUUGGGUGGCGAGUGGCGGACGGGUGAGUAACGCGUGGGAAUCUGUCUUAAAGUGGGGGAUAACUCGAGGAAACUCGAGCUAAUACCGCAUAUGUAGCUUGCUAGAAAGGGGGCCUCUGUUUACAUGCUUUCGCUUUAAGGUGAGCCUGCGUCUGAUUAGCUAGUUGGUAGGGUAAAGGACUACCAAGGCAAUGAUCAGUAGCUGUUCUGAGAGGAAGACCAGCCACACUGGGACUGAGACACGGCACAGACUCCUACGGGAGGCAGCAGUGGGGAAUAUCGGAGAAUGGGGGAAACCCUGAUCCAGCAAUACCGCGUGUGUGAAGAAGGCCUGCGGGUUGUAAAGCACUUUUAUUGGGGAGGAAAAGUUAAAAGCUAAUACCUUUUAACCGUGACGCUACCCAAAGAAGAAGCACCGGCUAACUCUGUGCCAGCCGCCGCAGUAA